GAUGAACGCUGGCGGCGUGCUUAACACAUGCAAGUCGAACGGAAAGGCCCAAGCUUGCUUGGGUACUCGAGUGGCGAACGGGUGAGUAACACGUGGGUGAUCUGCCCUGCACUUCGGGAUAAGCCUGGGAAACUGGGUCUAAUACCGGAUAGGACCACAUUUUGGAUGGUGUGGUGGAAAGUUUUUCGGUGUGGGAUGAGCUCGCGGCCUAUCAGCUUGUUGGUGGGGUAAUGGCCUACCAAGGCGUCGACGGGUAGCCGGCCUGAGAGGGUGUACGGCCACAUUGUGACUGAGAUACGGCCCAGACUCCUACGGGAGGCAGCAGUGGGGAAUAUUGCACAAUGGGCGCAAGCCUGAUGCAGCGACGCCGCGUGGGGGAUGACGGCCUUCGGGUUGUAAACUCCUUUCGCUAGGGACGAAGCGCAAGUGACGGUACCUGGAGAAGAAGCACCGGCUAACUACGUG
rnacentral:rRNA from 1 species